ensembl:lncRNA
UUUAUUUUUUUUUAUUUGCAUUUUUAUAUUUCGUUUUAUGGUUAUUUCAUAUUUACAUAGGAGUUUUUAUUUUAUAUUUAAUUAUUUUUAAAAGUGGUUCAAUUAGAAGGAUGUAGAAGUGUUUAUAAUAACAUAUAUAUUUACAAAGCCAAUUGUUAUAUAUAGUAUUAUUUUUAUAUAUAUUUAGAAUUAUGGUAAAAAGUGGUAAGUUUAUACAUACAUAUAUAUAUAUAUAUAUAAAUUUUUUUUUUUUUUUUAUUUUGUUAUAUUAUUAACAUUCUAUAACACUAUGUAGAUGUAAUGGUCUAGUUGCAGUACAUAUUUAUUAGUAGUUGCAUUAAACAAAUUAUAAUAUAAAAAAAAAAAAAUGUUAGAUAUUUAUAAAAAAAAAUUUAUUUACAACAAUUAACGUUUCAUAAAUUUGUUUAAUAUUAACAUAACAUUAUUAUACAUAAUAUAUUUUAAUUUAAUUAAAGAUUAAUUAAAAAACGUGCAUGCAAUUUAUUUUAAUCUAAAAUAUAUAGAACCAUAUGCAGUAAUAAACCUAUGUUAAAUUUUUUUUUUUUUUUUACAUUUGCUUUUGAUUAUUUAUGUUAAAUUAUAUAUAUAUAUAUAUAUAUUAGUGUAUUAAAAAAUAAACUAUAAUAAAUAAGCACUUUGGUUUUACAAUAUAUUUAUUAUACUUUUUCUAAGGAAACAAAUUUUAUUAAUAAUGUUUUUUAACUUAGGUACAUAUUUAUGAUUAAGUAUAAUAUAAAAAAAAAAAAAAAAAAAAAAAAGAGUCGUAUAUGUAUAUAUAAUUAAUAGAAUAAUACUAAAAUUAUAUAGCUUUAAACAGAAACAGAAAAAAAAAAAUUUUAGAAAGCAGCACAUAUAAUAUUUGAAAAAAAAAAAAAAUAAAAACUUUUAAAAACAUUCUUAAUUAUAUUACAAAAGUAAACAAUUAAACUGGAAGUGUAAAAAUAAUAUGACCACAAUUCGUAUAUUAUUAUUUUUACUGGCAACUCAUAAGUUUUUUUUAACAAUCUUAUUACCACAAUAUAAUCAUGGAUUUGGAAGCACUUAUAUAAAAAAUUUUCCAUUAAAGCUAUCAUCUACCAGAUACAUAACACAUUUAGUCGCAUGGAAAGCAACUUACAACUAUUUAAUAAAAUGUACACUAUUAAACAAAAUAAAAUGUGAAAAAAAAGUAAAACAGUAUAAAUAUACUGAAAAAGAUGCAUUCAAUAAUUCCAUAGCUAACAAUAAAUCAUUAUACAAUGAAGAAAGCAGUACUAGUACAAAGGAAGACAAUUUGUUAAUAGAUAAUUUAUUAAAAUGUAAAGAAAAGCCAAAUAGAGUCGUAGAACUUAAUCUACCAUCAUAUUAUAAGUCAAAAAAGAAUAGUAAAAAAAAAAAUUAUUUUUCUGUAGAUGAUGAGCCAUUAAUGGAGGGAAAAGAUGAAGAAGUAAUAAAAAACUGUGUGAAAAUAAUACAUGAGGUAUUAACAGAUAGAACAUCGUCUAGCGAAAUAAAUACAUUAGGUUUAACAAUGAAUGAUAGUUUAACAGAUAAAACGACGAAUGACAAAAUAGUUUUACCUGUUUUAACUAGCGAUCCAUCAGAAAAUAAAAUAGAUAUAUUUGGUUCAACAAGCAAAUUAUUAAACAAAAAAAUAGUUGCAUCUAAUUUGUCAAUAAAUAAGAUGAUAACAGAUGAAACGUUAGAUAAAAAAAUAAGUACAUCUCGUUCAUCAAUAAAUACUGUUCUAGCAAAUGAAAUGUUAGAUAACAAAACAGCUGCAUCUAAUUUAGUGAUAGAAAAUACAUCUGAUAGUAAUAUAAAUGUCGACAAUACAGUAAAUAAUAAAACUGAAAAUUCUUUAUUAAAUAAUAAUACUAAAAACCAUGAAGCAACAGAGCAUCGAAAAGCAAAAUGCAAAAGUAAGCACAUUGAUAUUAACGAUCAAAAAUCAACAUCUUCUGAAGUAGAAUUUGUUCAUUCGCAAAUUAAUAAUCUAAUAAAUGAAGAAAUAAAUAAAAUUAAAUUAAAAACAUCAAAACUUCUAAAUGAAGAAAUAAAAAAAAAUGAUUUACUGACACAUAAGUUAUUAAAAGAUGAUGCAGAACAUGUAAAAUUACUUAUGCAUAAUAUAUUGGUUAAUGAAAACAUCAAAUUACAAGUGUUAAUUAAAAAUUUAAUUAAUGAUAAAUUAAUAAACCCUAUAUUGAUGAAAAGUGAAGUUAAUAAUAUUGAUCAACUUUUAGAUUUAAUUGAUCACACGGAACUUGGAUCUGAUAAUAUAUCGUAUAUUAAAACACUUAUAAAAAAAUAUGUUUCUAUCCAUAGUCCAAUUAAACAAAUUCAAAUAUAUAAUCAAAUUAAAAGUUGUAUACAACGUGAACAGGCAACAUAUAAAUAUAAAUUUCGAGAAGCUCUUAGUGAAAACAAGAGGAUCAUAAAUAAUAUAUUUAAAUUAUGUAGAAAAGCAUAUAACAAUCGUGAAUUAAUUUUAGACUUAGCAGUACAUUUGUCAUAUGAUAGUUUGUUACACUCGUUUUUACAUGCGUUGACAUUGAUAUCGUCUUAUACAACAUUUGUGUUAGCUUUAUUCCUUAUAUUGUACUAUUACGCAAUGCACGAAGAAGAGAAAAUAUUGAAAUUAUAUAAAAAAUUGCAAAAAAAAAAUAAAUAAAUACGAAAAGAAGUAAUAACUACGUGAAGGUGAAGACAUAUAAGUAAAAUAAAUAAAUAUAUAAAUAAAUAAUAAUAUAAAUA